UGGGGAAUAUUGGACAAUGGGCGCAAGCCUGAUCCAGCCAUGCCGCGUGAGUGAUGAAGGCCCUAGGGUUGUAAAGCUCUUUCACCGGUGAAGAUAAUGACGGUAACCGGAGAAGAAGCCCCGGCUAACUUCGUGCCAGCAGCCGCGGUAAUACGAAGGGGGCUAGCGUUGUUCGGAUUUACUGGGCGUAAAGCGCACGUAGGCGGACUUUUGAGUUAGGGGUGAAAUCCCGGGGCUCAACCCCGGAACUGCCUUUGAUACUGGAAGUCUUGAGUAUGGUAGAGGUGAGUGGAAUUCCGAGUGUAGAGGUGAAAUUCGUAGAUAUUCGGAGGAACACCAGUGGCGAAGGCGGCUCACUGGACCAUUACUGACGCUGAGGUGCGAAAGCGUGGGGAGCAAACAGG
rnacentral:rRNA from 1 species